rnacentral:misc_RNA from 1 species
UUUCUUCAACACCUUACAAGGUCCCAACUUCUUAGAUUUCAGCUUCUUGUAAGUUCCUUUAGGAAAUCAUUCUCGUCUCAAAUGCAUAAGUACUUGAUCACCUUCUUCAAAUUCCUGCAUACGAUGCUACUGAUUGGCAGUAAAAGAAUAUGCUGCAUUGUUGGCUUUUAGGGCAGCUUUUACUGUUCAUAAAUCUUUCAAAUGUGAUUAGCAAAUGCUUCCCCUUCAUCACUUUAGCUUCUUGUGGCAAGGCUACCAAAUGAAGCACAUGUUGAGGUUUCAACCCAUAAGCAGCUUCAAAAGGUGUCUUUGAUGUAGUGGGAUAGUGGUGCUAUUAUAUCUCAACAAUUAGGGUUAAAAUAGGGUGAUCGGGGUUGGAACAAUAGAAAGUGAUUAGAUUUAAAGAAAACUUGUGAAUUAAAAUUCUGAAUUGAAAAA